UACUCUUUAGUGAUGAGUAAGUUUAUCCAGGCAGGUAAAAUAUUAGUCAUUCAUCAACCACUUCAACAGACUCAAUAAUAUGAUUUGAAUAUGGUCAGAUACCAGUUGUAACAGGAGCAAUAAACUGAACAGGGUACUGAAGGUCUUUGGAGGUGUUUCAAAGAAUCACAGAAAAUGCUGAGUUGGGAGGGACCCCAAAAAUCAAGUCUAGCUCCUAGUCCCAAGAAACCCUGUAUUGUUCAAAUAUUCCUUGAGUUCUGCCAGGCUGAUGCUGUGACCACUGCCCUGGGGAGCCUGUUCAGUGCCCAGCCACCCUCUGGGGGAAGAACAUUUUCCUGAUAUCCAACCUAAACCUGCCCUGACACUGCUUCAGGCCAUUCCCUGGGGUCCUGUCAGUGUCACCAUAGAGCAGAGAUCAGUGCCUGCCCCUGCUCUUCCCCUCAGGAGGAAGCUGGACCUGCACUGAGGUCUCCCCUCAGUGUCCUCUUCUCCAGGCUGGACAGACCACGUGCCCUCAGCAUCAUCCCUGGGCAUGAUGCCACCUGCAAAAACCAUCAACUGCUGUGCUGAGGCAAAGCCUUCCCAAGAGCUAAGCCACCACAGGGUCAUGCAGCUGCUCCAGACAUUUGGGGUCAUAAAUCAGAGUUAGUUGCUCACAGCACUAAUAAUUAUUACCUAAGGAUGACAUCACUAAGUCAGAGAGGAUGAUGUCUAUUCUGGGAAUUUACAUUCGGGGAGUGCUCGAGGUCUCUCGAGGUAGACUGUUGUCAACACCCACACAAAUGAACCUGAAAAAACUGCCUAGAAUUCUAAAAAAUAACGGUUUUGGUGUGAAAAUAAAGCUGGCAGAAACAGAGUGGAAGCUGCAGCCACUGAGGAUUUAAAGACAACAGGCAGAGCCAAGGCAGAGCAAAAAUUCCAAAAGAGGAGUGCACAUCUCUCCUGGUUUAGGGCAAAUUUGGGAGGAAACCUCCAAACAGGAUCCCUCUGGAAAGCAAACCCAAAAGGCCCCUCGCCUCAGCCAGUCCUGGAAAAGAACUUCCUCAGAGAAAAGUGGAAAAAACUAUUUAUUUAACGAACAAAAUGCCCACAAGCAUAAAGAAUGAAUAAUAUGAAACAAUAAAACCUCUUGCUGCUCCAAAGAGAGAUGGCAAACCUGAGAAAAUCCUUGCCUGAGCUCACUCAGUUUUUAUCAGUCCCAGCCCCUCUGGAGGUCCAGGCCCGGUGGGCCACAGGUGCCAGCCCCCGGUGCUCCUCUGGGGUUUUCAGUCUUGAGCAGGUUUAAACAGUCCCAAGAAAAAGGAAAAAAACAGUCCAGGGAACUUCUCUGCCCUAGCUAGCUAAACUAACUAAAAAGCAAAAAAGAUCUCUGUCCCAGCUGCCGGUCUGUGCUUCAGAUGAACAGAGUCCGGAGAGGAAUGUGCAGGAGGAGAGCUGCUCUCAAAACAAACCUGGCACUUCUUUGUUCCUGCUUUGCUCUCAGAGCCAGUCUAAAGGCACAGAACUCGACACACAGCACAGACAGAACAGAUAAUUAGGAUACAAGCAUCAUAAAUUCACCCUAGGACAAACAGAACAGAAGUGUGCAGGACCUGCAGAGAUGUGCCUGCAAGAAGGGACCUUCCUCUGCUCCCCCUCAGUGUCCAUGGGCCUCAUUUUCAGCCUCAGAGAGAAAAACCCUUGGAUGAAGACUCACCCUUGGAAUCUGCAGCUCUGCACACCCUCACCGCCCUGCAGCGAGCGCUAAACAGGUGCUGUUCCCAAAUGACUGCGGGUAGGGCAUGGAUCCUUCUACAGUGUCACACACCUCCUCUGGCAAAGCUCGAGUUCAAAAGAAAGAUUUCAGACAAGGUGCUAAACUGAAGUGAAAAAGACUAUGGAAGCUGAAAUCUUUCUCUGCUGAGAGCAGCCAAAUCACACAGAGCUGCCACAGGUCUCUGUGAGAGUUCCUGGCUUUACUAAAGCUUGAAAACUCCACCAGGAUGCCACUAAACAGCUUGGAGAACAGAAAAUAAAACACAAGAACCAAACCUGGCUCCCUGUGUUAAAACCCAGGCAGAAUGAUGAUCUCCAGAGCCAGAUUCAGUUUCCAAGAGGUUGCCCUCUGUUAUAGACACAUAUUAUAUAAAGCUGGCUUUUCACAAAUAUUAAAUGCUCUAUGUAUAACAUGGGAAGGUUUUGCUGUAUUGUUUUUUACUUCUGUUAUUAAUGAAACUUAGAAAUAAGUAGUGUGAUGGAUAUGUGUAUUCCUUAGGCUGUGGAGUGAUAUUGAAGUAAAGACUUUUUUUUUUACCAUCUAAACCGACUAAACCAGAAGGAUGGAGAAAAUCCCCUACAUUCCUGAAUUAUCUCAUCCAAAUGAAUAUUACUGACCAAAGCUUCAGGAAAGGAGUUUAUUGAACCUCUGUUAUCAGUAUCUUAUCCAGAUGAAGAUGUCAAAAACUCCAGGAUCAGAUGGAAUGGAGCCACACACAGGUGGAUCUACCAAAUAAAAUGGUUGGAGGGGAGUUGAAACUAAACAAAGAAAUUCACACUCAAGAGGAAUUUUGAAUCAGGCAUGUAAAUUUAUAAAUAUGGAACAGGCUGGUACUUUUAAGGACUGAGCCUUUUCUUAGCAGGUGUGCUCUUGGCCGAAUGCCAAGUCACCCGGCCAUAUAUAUUUUGCUUUUCUGUCUCCUAGUUAUCUUUUUAUUGUUUUAUUAAACUUCUAAGUUCUUCUAAAAAGUGUAUCUCGUUUUUCACACCCUCACUGCCAGACUGAGCCCAAAAAGGAAAAUUCACUACUCUGGGGUGAUGGCUGCUAAACUUUCAUUGGGAGCAAAGGUGAGAAUCUCAGAAGCUCUCAGGUGAGUUUUCCAAGCAGCACUCUGCCAGAAACAAUAGUCCUCUUUGGGCAGAAGAGUCCAUUAUUACUCUGAAGGCUUUUUUUCCCUCAUCUGAGCCUUCUUCUAAAGUGUUUGACAACUGCCAAUGUUGGUACAUGAACCUGAGCUGCCCAGCUCCCUCAGAGAGCCUGCAUGUGUCCCAGCACACUUCAGGUACACCAUGGGAUACAAAUGUGUCCUCAAUAGUAUAAAAAAUACAGCCAGACAAACAGACUUUGACGUAAAAUAUUUGUUCUGCAACACAGAAUGCAUUCAAGUUCUAGAAACAGUCCUAGAACAGCACUCAGGUGGUGUGGAAGAGGAUGCUCCUUUUUCCAGUGUUUGCCAUCCUUGGGUGCUCCUUCCCCUUUACAGUGAAUGGAAAAUUUUCCAUUUUUCACUGCGUAAAAUUUCGUUUCAUAAAAUUUCUGUGUACCAGAGGUACACAGAAAACAAAGUACUUUUCUGCUGGAGACCAGUGUUUUUAUUCACCUAGCUGUGAUAACUUCUGGUGCUUUGGUGCUCUCCCUUUGCACACCCACUGUGGCACCCAGAAAUGCCCCUCAGAGAAGCCACCAGACAAAGGCAGGUCCUUGCAGGAUCCUGUUCCCACCUGUCUCUGAGUGAGGUCUCUCAGGCUUCCUUCAACACGUGCUCCUGUCUCAGAGCAUAGCAGAAGGUUGUUUUAGUAAACAGAAGUUUUGAGGGAUUCAGUACUAGAACAUCACAAUUGAAAUGAGAAUCUGGAAGUCUUGAAUUAAAAUAUUUCCCUGAAGCUGAGCCAAAUAUCACAAUUGCUGAACUUGUUGCAGAAAUUCUAGGAAAUUCCCAGGCUGGCCACCAGUGUGGACUGACACUCCCGUCUGUGGUGUUCUCAGAAAGCUUCAUGAGAAGUAAAUUUGGUAAGUAAACCCUGCUCCUUCCUGCCACAAAAUGAGAUUUCCUUUGCUUCUUACCCUUUUUGAGACUUGGCAUUAUGCCGCAUCCAAGGCAUGCUUCACCAAGACACAGAAUAUGAGUUUCAAUGAACAGAAGGAGCAAAAUCAAAAGGUUUACUGUCACUUUUGUUUCUUCUUUAAGUACUUUGGGGUUACUGUCUGAUUCUUACACAGGAGAAAGACAAAAAGCACCUGUAAGACUCUUGAUGAAGCCACAAAAUUUACUUCAUAUUUGAUUCUACAGAUGGCAUGGGGAUAAGAAGAAAGGUCCUGGGGACAGGUGGGGCUUUAUUCUGUCUGUCCAGCAGAGCAGAAAAGACAGUGGGACAAGAGAAUGACUCUGCUAGGAAGAAUUGGGGGAAACAAUGGAACUCUGAGGGGUGUUUUUGCUGUCAGAGGCUGACAAUGGAUCAGCUUCAUGUUUUGAUAAGGUUUUCUGUCUGUGGAAGACAAUAGCAUUGACUUUUUUCUCAGCCUUCCCAUAUGUGUGCAGGCACAGGCUUGGAACAUCAAGAAUGGAAUGUCAAGAAUCCAGAAAAGCCAUCACACAGAGUUAACAGCGCAUAAUAAAAUUCACAGAUCUUGAAAUAAUCUACAGGUCACAGGAAAAAAAAAAAAAAAAAAAAAAAAGAGAGACAGAACCAAACGAGGCUACGAAAUUUAAAAUGCACUAAACAACAGAAAUGGAUGCAAUUAGUGUCAGUUUGACUAAUCCAGCCCUUGACAGCUUUCCUGCCCCUAAAUGAAGCUGGCAGCACUUCCCACCAAGCCCUUCAUGAAGGCUGUCCCAUGGGAAGAUGUCAGUGCUGGUGGCUGACAGCACAGCACCUGCUCACUGCUCACCUGGAUCCCUGCACCCUCCCAUGCUCAACGAGCCCCUCUCCUCCUCCUUGGCCUCCCAUGCCUUUCAACCUGCAUUCCAAAGCAGGAUUUAAAUGGGCAGCUGCUGGAAAAUAAAGUUUCCUUUAUUUCCAAAUGCUCUUUGUUUUAUGAAUUCACUUGGAGGGCACAGUGGAUGGCAAUUGCAUGUGAUGGAUAUUAAUUUUUGCAGUGUUGCUAAUGAGAAGUUUAUGGUUGGGUUAUUUAAUAGCAUUAACUGCCAUAUAAAAUGUUUAAAGUAAUUUAUGUUGCCACUCAGGGUACAUAAAUGCCUAUUGUCCAUAGGGCAAUCCAUGCUUUAAGCAUCACUGCUUGUUAUUAUGAGUGUUAUAUAUGUUAUUUAUGAGUGGGCACUUAACUUGUAGAAGUUAGGGCAGUUUUCUUGGAACUGUGGUGGGCAAGGCAGGUAAUUUGGUUGCUGUGGUGAUCUGGAGGGGGGCACAAUGACAGCGAUGAUGCCUAGGCUUGGCCUUAAGUCCAACACACAAACACCAGGAAACAGCCUUAAAAAUGCAAGAAAAAGCACCCAGGCAAAGUGAGUAUUUGCCAAAGCACAGGACUCCAACACUGGCACUGCUCGUGGGGCUUACACAGGUCAGGAUUUCUGCCCAUGAGUUUCCCUGCCAGUGCAGUAGGAAGAAGCAGAAACAAAAAGCACUUCUUGGCCAAUGUAGACCUUCAGGAGAAACACAAGAAAUGAAAAUACUGACUCUCUAAACCAUCCGAGGACUUUCCUGGUGACAGAAAUUCCCAGGGGGCUGCAGAACAUCACACAGGUGCUGUGGCAGGAUGAGAACAGUGCUUGUCAAAAUGGGAAAUGGACAGGUGGGACUGGCAGGAUAAAACAGAGCUUUUCUUCAGCUGGGGAGAAGGGAGGAAGAAACCCACCCAUUCCAGAGUGCCAAGCAGAAGGCAAACAGGGAAUGAUCCUUUCCUGCUUCUUCUGGUGAAACAGCACAGGGAACAUCUGCCACUUGCAGGUAGCAAGGACAAGAUGAGCAGAAGAUUAGUCCAGGGAAGAAAAAUCCACCCAAAUUGGAUGAAAAGACAAAGGUAAUUAAUUCCACUGUUCAGCAAGUCCUUCAAUUGUGUAGGGUUUCCCAGAGAAGCAGCCUCUGAUGCUUGCCCUGUUUGGGUUGGAAGGGACCUCAAAUAUCAUCUAGCCCCAACCCCCAGUUGCAGUCCACGCUUUUAAGGAUUUUUACUGGAUAUUUCUGUAACCCUGUACUGGGAGUUACCUGAAACCACCACGAUUGAAAACAGGCAAUUCCAUGUCCAUGUUGGCUGCCAGGAUCAAGGAGCAGGCAGUGAAAAUCUACCACUACCAACACAUCUUGCACUUCCCUCAGAGUGAGAACAGGAACAAAGGCAUCUGUCUGAAAAUAAUAACACUUUAUUUGAUUUUUUUUUUGUCUGUGUGUGUGUGUGUGUUACAUUAUCAUAAAUGUUCUCUAGUCUCAGAAAACAAAGCCCUAAGUUUGGAAAAUAAUGCACAUACAAAUCUCUUCUUACAGGUAUUAAGUAUACAGAAAUAUACAAAGAUUUCUCUAUUACUGUAAUAUAUCAUCAGAAUGCCCCACAUCCCACAUUUUUACUCAGGUCCACUGUACCAGGAAGCGUAAACUACAAAGGUAACAAGCAACCUGAAAAAGACAUGGUUUGUAUAAUAUAAUUACAUUAUAUGUAUGUAUAUAUAGAUAUCUACAACAGUGCAAAUAUAUCACAGCGUGCAGGCAGCGAUAGUCUCUAGAGAAGCAGAAUAAAAUUGAUUCAUAGUAAUGCAAAUGCAUUACAGAAACGAGAGACAACAAUGACAUAUUAGAUAUUCAGAAUAUGCACACUUUAGCACGCUGAUUUAAAAUCAUACCUUGCAUUGACUCUUGCUUUGAAAAACAAAAGAACCGAAUGUUAAAUAAUUCAGUCACAGGUUCAAGGGCAGAAUCUCACAAUAAGGUCAACUGACUCAGAUAAGGUGUUUGAUAAAUCUUUACUGACACAGGUAAAGGCUUGGCUCCACUGCAGGACUUGUUAUCUUCUCCUUUUAAGAUAUAUCAGUGUAAUUGUCUCAAAUUUAAUUUUCUUUUGCCAUAAUUUAAGAGAUUUUUCCCAUUUUUUUUAGUUGCUCAACAACUAAUUCACAUUUGUAAAGGUUGGUAUAAUUAUCACAGAGGCCAGGAAAACUGGUUUCUGGAAGUAACAGAAAGGAGUUUGUAUAAUGAUUACCCUAAAUGGGCCACUAAAAUAAGCUUCAGUGGGGUCAGAAAAAAAGACAUCACAGAUGCCACUGAAAUAGAAAACCCCACCAACCUUUAAAAGCAGAACUUCCAUGCUGGCUUGCAAUUUGCUUAAAAAGACAUUUUUGAAUUUAUUUCCUUCUUGAAAGAGUAAAGCACACCCAGAGAUCCAGCACAUUGGGGCUUUGGUAGCUCCAAGGAGUCUCAAAGUCCCCCCUCCACCUUUUAACAAUUCCCAAGCAGCUCAUUUUCACACCCCACGUGGACAGCAGCCAUGAAUAUCCAGAAAAAAGGGACAAAAGCAAUUGAUAGGCAUGGGCUGAGCUGCAUGGAAGCUCCCAGAAAAAAAAAUAAAAAGGAAAAAAAUAAGAACUAGCAAAAGCUGGAUGUGUCUUGAAGGCACA